CCCUUUCCUCCCCUCGCUGCUGUUAUUUAGUUCUGGAAGGGAUUUCGAGCCUCGAGACGAGAGAUCCAGAUCCACUUGGAGUCAUAGAAGGUCAGCUGCAUUUUGUUUACUCCAUAUCCAGAUCCCCUGCAGAUUCUACAGAAGAUUGACCUUUUCGUUUAUUCGUUUUAUCGCUCAAUGACUCUAGCGAUACUCGAGGAUGUGUGCAAUGGAAGGUCGCCAUUGAUCUUCAUCGAUCGCUUCCGAAAUUACUGCACCGAUGUUACUAGCCGCUGUGAUUGCAAGUCUGAUUCUUCAAAGGGACAGGAAAUUGUUGGUAUACAAAGAGAAUGCCAUGUACAUAGACUAGAUGUUAUGCUUAGGGUACUGCUCAUUAUUCAGAAACUUCUAUAGGAAGGCAGAAUGCUUGUGCAGGUGUCCGUUGCUAAAGGAUUGGUGAUGGGGUGGCUGAGGUUCAUAGAAGGUGGAAGGAAGGUCGAUUGCAUCAGAAGUCCCAACAAUGCCUAUCCUAUCCCCUAGAUGUUGAAGAAGUUAAAGUGUUUGAACGACUUGCCAACGACGAGUUCUGCAACAAAAAUCGUUGUAUCGUGAUUACUGUUUGUGAGACUUCUAACAGAAAAUCUGUGGUUGCCUACCUAUUGCUUGGUAGAUUGUGAUCCAUAUGGACUUGACAUCUUGACCACAUACAAAUUUGGUUCUAUGCAAAUGGCAUAUGAUGUGAAAUUUCUACGAGUUCUAGAGAUCCAAUGGCUGAGUGCUUUUCCUUCAGAUUCAGAUAAAUACGAUCUUCCACAGCAGUGCUUGUUUCCCUUAACCAAAGAAGACGAGAACCGAAUCGAUGCUGCUUAGAUGUUAUUUACAACGCGAAGUGCCACAUUGGAAUUCAGCCUGAAGUGAAUCCAUUCUGGUGUUGUUGUCCAUGAAAUUCAGCCAGAUUCUUCCAAAUGGCACUGCUUGGAUCUCGAAUCUUGUGAACACAAUCACAGAAUGAGAGGGGAAAGAUGUUCAUUCCCUUGAUCUUAACAUUCCAAUACUUCUUUGUCAUCAAUGGAAUCAAAGGAUGGAUCAGGGAUGACUAAGUACUAGAGAUGUGAUCUGCUUGAGAAGAUCGUGACUAGCUGUAGUUUCAGAUAUGGAAUUCUCUCUUUAAUUCGGUUUUAUUUUUUUGGUUUGAGGAAGAUAAAAAAGACAUUUGUGAUGCUAGAUUAUUUUCGAGAAGAUUUUGUUUGUUCUCUCUGCUAUUGUUUUAGUCACACAUAAUACUGACAUUUGUUCUUCCUCAAAGGUGCUUCAAAUUAGAGCUUUUUAUAU